rnacentral:rRNA from 1 species
GAUGAACGCUGGCGGCGUGCCUAAUACAUGCAAGUCGAGCGAACAGACGAGGAGCUUGCUCCUCUGACGUUAGCGGCGGACGGGUGAGUAACACGUGGAUAACCUACCUAUAAGACUGGGAUAACUUCGGGAAACCGGAGCUAAUACCGGAUAAUAUAUUGAACCGCAUGGUUCAAUAGUGAAAGACGGUUUUGCUGUCACUUAUAGAUGGAUCCGCGCCGCAUUAGCUAGUUGGUAAGGUAACGGCUUACCAAGGCAACGAUGCGUAGCCGACCUGAGAGGGUGAUCGGCCACACUGGAACUGAGACACGGUCCAGACUCCUACGGGAGGCAGCAGUAGGGAAUCUUCCGCAAUGGGCGAAAGCCUGACGGAGCAACGCCGCGUGAAUGAUGAAGGUCUUCGGAUCGUAAAACUCUGUUAUUAGGGAAGAACAAAUGUGUAAGUAACUAUGCACGUCUUGACGGCACCUAAUCAGAAAGCCACGGCUAACUACGUG